rnacentral:rRNA from 1 species
CCCAGCAAUGGGAUGCGAAUCUCGAAAGCCUGUCUCAGUUCGGAUUGGAGGCUGAAACCCGCCUCCAUGAAGUUGGAUUCGCUAGUAAUCGCGCAUCAGCCAUGGCGCGGUGAAUACGUUCCCGGGCCUUGUACACACCGCCCGUCAAGCCAUGGGAGCCGGGGGUGCCUGAAGUUCGUGACCGCAAGGAGCGACCUAGGGCAAAACUGGUGACUGGGCUAAGUCGUAACAAGGUAUC